rnacentral:rRNA from 1 species
GACAGAGGUGCCAAGCGUUAGGCGGAAUCACUGGGCUUAAAGCGUGUGUAGGCGGAUCGUUAAGUGCCUUGUGAAAUCCCACGGCUCAACCGUGGAACUGCUUGGCAUACUGGCGAUCUUGAGCCAUCUAGGGGCUACUGGAACAAACGGUGGAGCGGUGAAAUGCGUAGAUAUCGUUUGGAACGCCAAUGGUGAAAACAGGUAGCUGGGGAUGUGCUGACGCUGAGACACGAAAGCCAGGGGAGCGAACAGG